rnacentral:lncRNA from 1 species
UGGAGCCAGUCUUCCCAAGGUGAAAUCCUAACUUUGCCACUUACUAGCCAUGUGAACUUGGGCAAGUGACCUAAUCCUCUGCAUUUCAUCUCUAAAUUGGGGAGAAUAGAAGCAUCUACUUCAUGUAGUAGCCAGGAUUAGAAGAGGAACCCUGGAAUCACAGACUGUCAUGACUUGUCUAAUGUGCUUUCUGGCACAUGCUUUUUACAUGCUGCACCAAUACUGGGUCUAGCUGCAGCUUGGCUGGGUCGCAGAGGCUGAAGAGGGAGCUAAGCCUGGAGAGCUGGGUUAAGUCAGACAGACCCAAAAUCUCUUACACUGAGUCUCAACUUAUUGUCCCUUGUGACUCCAAGGUCAACUUCCCUUCCCUGUUGGCUGAGGAUCCAGGUUCUUGGAGCCCCACUGUAGAAAGACUGCUGAUAUCCCAGAAUUCCAAGGUGGAUGUGCAGAUGAGAUUUCCAGUGACACCCAGCAGACUUCACGCAGAAGGUGGCAUAGUGUAGAGACGGGGCAUUCAUGCUUUACCCUUAGAGAGGCGUUGCUUUGAAUCUGCAUCUGCCCCUUCUUUUGCCUUUGCCCCUACAGAUUCAGGACCACGGCCAGCACCCACACUGCCUUCCGUAAACACUGAGCUAAAUAAACCUAGAGCCUUGGUGAUGAGAUCAGCACUGCCUUUGUAAGUUGGUUUUCUCAACAAACAUCAACUGAACAUCUACUAAACGUAAGAGCACUCUGGCUGUCAACUGAAAACAGCAGCAGCAGCAGCAGCAGCAGCAACACCACCACCAACAACAACGACAACUGUUGCAUAUAUAACUGAAGAUCCACAGAGUCCCUCUUUCCAGUGUUAGUUGCUACAAGGAGUGAGAGAAUGAAGAUCUGACCUCAAGGAAUACAAGAGUUUUGUUCAAAGUUCCAAGACUAAGCUAUUAGAAGGGAGGGAGGGCCUGGUGCCAUGUCAUCUCUGACCAAGAGAAUUGGUAGAAUAGAAAUAAUCUAUUUCUCACGUGGUCUAGGACUUGACAAUUUACAUAGCAGUUUUAUAUCCUCUACUUCAUUUGACAUGCUCCCAUCACCCUGUGAAGCAUGUGUCAUUGUUACCACUCACUUUCCAGAUAAGGAGAGAUGGGGAGGCUCAGGGAGGUGAAUGGAUUUGCCUGAGGCCACUGGUCAGUGACUGAGCUGGGAUAGGAAUUACUUUCUCUGGUCUCUUGAUCUCACCUCUUUGUCUCACUCUUUCUGCUGCAUCUCAGUUGCUUCUGCGUCUGGCCAGACCCAAAAACAAAUCAUGUAAUUGAGUUGGAAUGUGGGUGCUGGGGCCCGGGAGACAAUGUUUUCUGCUUUUCAAUCUGUUCUUAAUUUAUUAAAGUGAUGAAAUAAGGAAGAGGCCCAGAAGGGUGGAUGUUUUCCAUCAGUGAGUCAGGGGAACAUGCAGAGGCAGAAGGUCAGGAGGAAGCUGCUGUUGCUCCAGCAGCUUCACCCACUCUGGCCAAGUCCCCACAGAUGUGCUGGUGGGGGAGACCUUCUUAGAGCUGCCCCAAGAGUAAAAUAAACCAGAAAAGAGCAAGCCCUACUGGAGACUCUCUCCCUCCCCACAAUGUUAUCUCUGACUACCCGAGCACCUUCCCUCUUAUCUGACAAAUGUCCAUUGUCUAAGGGAGAGACCGAGUGAAGGCAGGAGGAGGCCUAAUUCAGCCUGAGGAGGGUCAGGAAAGGCUUUCUAGAGAAGGUGACACUGGCACCUUAGACUUGAAAGCUGAAAAGAAGUGAUCUGGGAAAGGGGGAUGAGGAGGAGAAAGUGUUUUCCAGGUGGAGGAAAUAGCAGGUGGGAGGUUUGGAGAUAAGAGAGGGAAUGGCUGGAGCCAUCAGGGUGGAGAGAUGAGGCUGGACCGGCAGAGGGGUUGGCAGUGCUGGUAUCCAGAGGGCCUUCCAGGUCAGGUUGUUAUAUCUCCUCUGAGGAAGAGUCCUGAUUGUUAGCUCAAUUUAUGUGGUUAGGCAUAGAGAAUGGAUUGCAGGAGACAGUGGCAACCCAAGGCAAGUAAUAAAAAGGCUAGAGAGUUGGUGGGGCCUGAGUAGGGGGCAGUGGGAAUAGGGAUCAAGAGACAGAGAGGUGGAGGGACGGAUGGAAUGGAAUCUUUUUUUUUUUUUUGAGACAAUGUCUCACUCUGUCACCCAGGCUGGAGUGCCGUGAUUGCAUCACAGCACUGCAGCCUUGAUCUCCUGGGCUAAAGCAAUCCUCCCACUUCAGCCUCCUGAACAGCUGGGACUUCAGGCACAUGCCACCAUGCCCAUAUGAUAAUUUUAAUUUUUUUUUUCAUUAGAGAUGGAGUCUUGCUAUGUUGCCCUGGCUGGUUUCAAACUCCUGAGCUCAAGCAAUCCUCCUACCUCAGCCUCCCAAAGUGUUGGGAUUACAGACGUGAGCCACCACAUCCAGACUGGAAUAGAAUCUUAUUAGACUAAUGACCUUCUAGUGCAUGAUGACUGGAUGGUGGGUGGAGGAAGGAAGAGGAAGAAGCUGGCUUGGCCCAGGCCUUUGUGACUUGGCCCAGGUGGCCACUACAGACAGCUGUCUGUGUACAGUGUACAGAGGGCAAUGUUCUUGAAUUGCUGUUCAAACCCAGACUGUUUGCUUGUCAUCUGUACUAGUCAGGUUCUCCAGUGAAUCCAGAACCAGUGAAAUACACAUGCACACAUAUACACACACAAAAUAAGGAGUCAUCAUGCAGUUAUGGAAACUGAGAAGUCCCAUGAUCUGUCUCUGCAAACUGAAGACUCAAGAAUGCCAGUGGUGUGAUUCUGGUCCAAGCCCAAAGGCCUGAGAAUGAGGGGAGCCAUUAUGUAUAUCUCAGUCCAAAGGCAGGAGAUGACUGAUGUCCUAGCACAGAUAUGCAGGCAGGAAGGGGAUGAAUCUUCCCUUUUUCUGCUUUUCAUUCUAUUUAGGCUCUCAGUGGAUCGGAUGAGGCCCACCCACAUUGAUGAGAGCAGUCUACUUCACUGAGUCUAAUGAUGCAAAUGCUAAUCUCACCCAAAAACAUUCUCACAGAAAUGCCUAGAAAUAAUAUUUAAUCUGGGCACCUUUGGCCCAGUCAAGCUGAUAUAUAAAAUUAACCAUCAUACCAUCUAUAAGGCAAAAACUUUUCUGUGCCAGGCUCUGUGCUGGGCGUUGGGCAUGCAGUGAUGAUUCAGAACCAGACUUUGUCUUCCAAGUUGGGAGACAGGCACAUAGCAGUGAUGACAACAUGGUGUGCUGCGGCUGAGACAGAGAAGUUUCAGGAUCCCAGAAAGGGAACCUAAAGGAGGGCAGGGAGGCUUCCUGGAACAGGUGACUCCUGAACCAGUUCUUGAAGCCCAAUAGGAGUUAGCUGGGUGAUUGAGGGAGAAUAUAAUAUUCUGAGGACAGAAAAGAAGUUGUGAAAGAGAAUGGUAUGAUCAGCAGGAGGUAUAUAGGUGGAGCCAGGUGUGGGGAGAGGGAGACAGGUGGGGCUGGGCUUUCCUGGCCUGGUUCUUUGUGUACUCUAUUCUUUCAACUUAAGAUGUUUUUCUCUUUGGCUCACAUUACACUACCCUUUAAGGUCUACUUUAAAUUCAAACUUCUCGAAGCCUUCCGUAAUCCUCUCCCUUGCCAAAAAUAAUUUAUUGAGGACCUACUAAGUGCUCUUUAUAUCUUUCAUUUUAUUAAUUCAUUAAGGCAUCCCUGUGAGGUCAGCUGUUCAGUUCAGCUCAGCAUACCUCUGGUCCCUGCUAUGUGCCAUGCCCUAAAAAUAUGGAGAUAAAUCAGAUAUUAUAGCUCACAUUCUAGUGGAGAAGACACACCUAUUAACAGAUAUUUUUAAUACAAAUAAUAUUGGGUGCUAUUAUCUCAAUUUUGCAAAGGAGAAACUCGGACAUUUACUGGUUAACCGAUUUUGCUCAGGGUCAUAUGAGUAGUAAGUGGAACCCUGCUCUAGGUAGAGUUGAGGUCAGUGCUCUGACCUCUGCUCCAGUCAACUCCCAUGGCACUUAUCAUGAUCUGUCUGGGAAGGAUGUAUAAAUAAGGAGAUGCUGAUAUUUGACUUACCCUGGGACUUGGUUUUGAGCUCAGUGAAAGCAGGAUCCAGUAUUGUGAAGUGGUUCUGCAGAGACAGAGCUUGAGAAGAGGGUGGGACUAACAUUUAGAAAGUGUCUACCACGUGUCCGCCUGUUCUGUUGCCAGUCCCACUUCCCACCUUUGUGCCCCUUCCUCUAAAUAGCUUCCCACAUCCUCCUACUAUCAUCUGCCCUGGCUCUUUUCUCUUCUCUUGGUCAUUGCCUGUUAACUUGUUUGUCUUCCCCACUUGAUCAGGUUGGAAUCUUCAGAGCCCAUCAUAGUGUGUGGACUGUAGUCAGAGUUCAGUAAUCCUGAAUUGGAUUGACAGAAUUCUUACUGGCCAUGCUCUGACAGAGAGUCGGCUUGUGUCUCUGCCAGUACCUGUGGGUGUUGAGUCUGUGGGUUAUCUGUGUGGGCUCACCACAGUUUGCAUGGUGUGUGUAGCUCCUGUUUGGGCCUUGCAUUGACUUCCUGCGUGUUCCCUAUAAGGGUAUUCCCACCCCCUUCUGAGCCCUAUGCCUCCUCCCCUCAUUAGUAUCUUACCCUGACCAGCCCUAAAUGUCCCUCUCUGUCAGAAAUAUAUUUCAGGGUAACUUGUGUCUCCUAGCCAUGAUUAAAAACUUCUGAACACCCUUGGGUGUGGAGCCUGGUCUCUUGGUGCAUAUCAAGUGCCUGCAUUUGCCAGCUGAGCUCCCCAGCUCUGUAUCUGCUGACAAUGAGAUCAGGCCCAGCUUGGUUUUAAAGGUGAGUGGGCAGUAAAUGAUAAAACUACACUCAACCUCUUGCACAGUCCACAGCUCUGAAAGCACUCCAGCAGGUUUACAACUUCUCUAAGGGGCUGAACUUUUGCGGGGAGGGUUGGAAAGGUAUGGAUUUAGAAAUUGUUGUCUUCAGACGGUUUGUGUUUCUGGGUGUUUAAGAAAGUCUCCCCCCGCACCCCAAGCUGAUCGUUGUGUUUUAAUGACGCAAAAUCAUGAAUAUUAAACCAAUGGAAAGUUGACAGUAUUUAAAUGAGCAUCAUUAAGAGACACAUAAAUUAACAGGGUUUUUAGUUCUUGUGGAACUGCCGUUUCAAUGUUAAUUAAACAACCGGAGUGCUCGGGCGCUUUUGCAGCAAACUGUCCCCAAAGUGUGCUGCAGAAUAUCAUUAUGGGUGGCUGCCUUGCUGUUUAAUUAUUUCCAAGUUGAUUUUUUUUCCAUUGCUGAAGUAGUUUUAUGCUUGUCUUGCAUUUGGAAAAGGUGAUGGAGCUGAACCUCUAAGGAAACUGUCAGUGUGAUCUCUGUUGGCCCUAUGGUGAAGACCUGAGCUGAGCAAUGCUUGUCCCUUCAUGCCAGCCUUCUGUGAAGGAAGCCCAGGUGCCCCUUUGGAUCUCCUGAUGGGCUGGUCCCUGACUAUUAACCCGGGGUGUCUAGGAGGUACCUGGCUCCUUAGUUGCUGACCAUCUUACUCUUAGAAAGUUGGGGGUCUGAAUUUGGAUGGAGCCCUUAGAUGCAGAAGGAAAGGCAGAGAGUGUCAGAUUAGGGGAAGGGGUAGCAAAGGCUUCCAUGAUUAUACUUGAGGCAGUGUGGAGUGGAGGAGCCAGGAGCCCUGGGAUCUGCUCUUGAUUCUAUUUGGUCUGAGUUAAGUGACCUUGAGGCAUUCCCUCCACCUCUCUGGCAUCAGUCUCUUCAACUAUAAAAUGACAGGGCUAGAUUAGAUCAUGCAUUCUCAAAGCAGGUGAUGUUGCCCUCAAGAGGGUAAAAAGUGGUUCUUGGGAGGGUGGAAAGAGUGUACUCUUAUUUUAAUGUGUAAAACAAUAAAUGUGUAUUACAUAAACAGGUACAUAGUAUAUUUGUGGUGUUAAGAAAAGACUGAGAAAUACUGGACUGGAUGAACUCUAGGAGCUUCAUCUUUAAAGAAAAGAAAGUCUCCUGUGAGAUGGAUCCCCAGAUGGUCACAUUCCCUGGAAUAUGGAAAUGGUCUUUAUCGUUACCUGUGUGAACUUGACUGGGCUCUUAUCUCCUGGGCCUCAAGGGCCUAGUGUGUCAAAUGAGGCCAUUCAUCUCUUACCAGUCCAAAGGUGCGGGGCUGGACUAAAGGAACUUUAGAAGUCAGUGAAGCAGCCUGGUGGAGAAGGAUGCAGUCCUGGGUCCCAGUGUGUGGCUUUUGAAACC